CGUUACUGCAUGGUGAGGACGUCCCAGUCUGGAAACUGGGAAGUUCAGGAUGGUGGCGCCAGGAGAUUCGGCAGCUGGAUCUUACUGUGUAGUUGAGACUGAC